CGCGUAGGUAACCUGCCUGGUAGCGGGGGAUAACUAUUGGAAACGAUAGCUAAUACCGCAUAAUAUUAAUUAUUGCAUGAUAAUUGAUUGAAAGGUGCAAUUGCACCACUACCAGAUGGACCUGCGUUGUAUUAGCUAGUAGGUGAGGUAACGGCUCACCUAGGCGACGAUACAUAGCCGACCUGAGAGGGUGAUCGGCCACACUGGGACUGAGACACGGCCCAA
rnacentral:rRNA from 1 species